rnacentral:rRNA from 1 species
UAAAAAAGAUCUCCGUUGGUGACCAGCGGAGGGAUCAUUACCGAGUUUACAACUCCCAAACCCCUGUGAACAUACCAAUUGUUGCCUCGGCGGAUCAGCCCGCUCCCGGUAAAACGGGACGGCCCGCCAGAGGACCCCUAAACUCUGUUUCUAUAUGUAACUUCUGAGUAAAACCAUAAAUAAAUCAAAACUUUCAACAACGGAUCUCUUGGUUCUGGCAUCGAUGAAGAACGCAGCAAAAUGCGAUAAGUAAUGUGAAUUGCAGAAUUCAGUGAAUCAUCGAAUCUUUGAACGCACAUUGCGCCCGCCAGUAUUCUGGCGGGCAUGCCUGUUCGAGCGUCAUUUCAACCCUCAAGCCCAGCUUGGUGUUGGGACUCGCGAGUCAAAUCGCGUUCCCCAAAUUGAUUGGCGGUCACGUCGAGCUUCCAUAGCGUAGUAGUAAAACCCUCGUUACUGGUAAUCGUCGCGGCCACGCCGUUAAACCCCAACUUCUGAAUGUUGACCUCGGAUCAGGUAGGAAUACCCGCUGAACUUAAGCAUACUAA